UUCCCGCAAAAUCCAACCUUAUUAUCUCGAAUUUGAAAUUCCUAGCCGGAUAGUGUUCCUCAAACCACUUCUCGGUUUCGCCCAUUUCUGAUUCCCCGACGUCAACAAAAACCCGCCUUGGAUACUCACUAAGCGAUGUAUCAAUAAGGUCCGGGAGGAAUCUAGUGCUCUUGUACAGCUUUUGAAGUUCCCUUCGAUCUGGCGGGGGCUCCAGUACUACAUCCUCUAACCCUUUCAAAGCUUCUUUUUUGGCUUCAGGAACUGCUAGUAGUCUUCUUCCUGUUCCACUGAUAUAGCCAUUUGUAGCUGAAUGUGCGGUUUUCUUGAUCGCAACGAAUGUUGAACCGAACCGCCGGAUGUAGACCAUCCUAUAAUUCGGCGGCAAGUGCAAGGAAUAGUUCGGGUCCGAGCUCAACCGGACCGCGGUAAUGCCGCCGAUUCUCAGGACCCUCUCGGCGAACGCAAAAGAGGCAUCGCAGAAGCCGUCUGCGGCAAGCAUAAAAUCGAUCGAACGGUCGCCGACCUUCAGCUCCG
rnacentral:lncRNA from 1 species